GGAAAGCAAUAAAGGAGACCGAGCAGAGAUCUUUCCUCCUGCUCCCUCACAACUUCAGAAUCUUCUGUUGCCAUUUCUGUGGAGGUAGCAAGAGAAACAAUAAAUAAGUCCCAGAAAAUGUCAACUGUUUAUGCAUUUGAGCCUGAGACUUCCUGUGGCUUUUGUUUUUUACUCCUUCCCCAGUUUUAAAAUUUUGUUCUGUAUUCCUAUGGUGUUGGCCAUAAUUUCCACGAUAAUCUAAGAGAUAUGUUCAAAAGAAAAAUGGCUUCAAGGGUACUGUUACUCCUGGAAAUAGAAACACUCCUUCCCUAAAACAUCCAUUUGGAUUCUGUUCAUGAUCUCCUCCUAGUCAGAGACACUUUGUUCAGAUAGACACAAAAAGAUGCUGCGCCACUGUUCUCGACACCUUGAAGAAUGAGACAGAUCCAAAAAUCUACAGUGUUUCUUUAAAAGACAUCUCAGUAAAAUUACGAAUUGCAGGCAAGUCUAUGGCCUGACAUCAGCAUAGCAGGUUGAAAUUAAGGAGCCCAGCAAACAAGGACGUUGCAAUGGCAGUUAGAAACAACAGUUUUGAAAGGGCAGAUGAAACAGACUCGCUACAAGACAAGGGGAUUGUUGAAAAGCCCUCCACAACAAAGGAAAUGAACUCAAAUCCCUAACCUGCGGGGCGUUCCAGCAACCCUGAGGCCAAAAAU
rnacentral:lncRNA from 10 species